rnacentral:rRNA from 1 species
ACUCAAAUGAAUUGACGGGGGCCCGCACAAGCGGUGGAGCAUGUGGUUUAAUUCGACGCAACGCGAAGAACCUUACCUGGGUUUGAACUGCAGGCGACAGCCCUCGAAAGAGGGUCUCCCGCAAGGGCGCCUGUAGAGGUGCUGCAUGGCUGUCGUCAGCUCGUGUCGUGAGAUGUUGGGUUAAGUCCCGUAACGAGCGCAACCCCUAUCCUUAGUUGCCAGCGGGUCAUGCCGGGAACUCUAAGGAAACCGCCGGUGAUAAACCGGAGGAAGGUGGGGAUGACGUCAAGUCCUCAUGGCCUUUAUGCCCAGGGCCACACACGUGCUACAAUGGUCGGUACAAAGGGCUGCGAAGCCGCAAGGUGAAGCUAAUCCCAAAAAGCCGAUCUCAGUUCGGAUUGGGGGCUGCAACUCGCCCCCAUGAAGGUGGAAUCGCUAGUAAUCGCGGAUCAGCAUGCCGUGGUGAAUACGUUCCCGGGCCUUGUACACACCGCCCGU